rnacentral:rRNA from 1 species
AGUGGCGACCGGGUGAGUAACACGUGACUACCUGCCCUUGAGUGGGGGAUAACCUCGGGAAACCGAGGCUAAUACCGCAUAAUAUCGCAAGAUCAAAGGAGCAAUCCGCUUUUGGAGGGGGUCGCGGCUGAUUAGCUAGUUGGUAAGGUAACGGCUUACCAAGGCGACGAUCGGUAUCCGGCCUGAGAGGGCGCACGGACACGCUGGAACUGAAACACGGUCCAGACUCCUACGGGAGGCAGCAGUGGGGAAUUUUGCGCAAUGGGGGAAACCCUGACGCAGCAACGCCGCGUGGAGGAUGAAGCCCCUUGGGGCGUAAACUCCUUUCGACUGGGAAGAUUAUGACGGUACCAGUGGAAGAAGCACCGGCUAACUCUGUGCCAGCAGCCGCGGUAAUACAGAGGGUGCGAGCGUUGUUCGGAAUUAUUGGGCGUAAAGGGCGCGUAGGCGGUGCGGUAAGUCACCUGUGAAAUCCCCGGGCUUAACUCGGGGCCUGCAGGCGA